rnacentral:rRNA from 1 species
AGUAACUGCGAAGUGAGCGGGAAAAGCUCAAAUUUAAAAUCUGGCGGUCUUUGGCCGUCCGAGUUGUAGUCUGGAGAAGUGCUUUCCGCGCUGGACCGUGUAUAAGUCUCUUGGAACAGAGCGUCAUAGAGGGUGAGAAUCCCGUCUUUGACACGGACUACCAGUGCUUUGUGAUGCGCUCUCAAAGAGUCGCGUUGUUUGGGAAUGCAGCGCAAAAUGGGUGGUGAAUUCCAUCUAAAGCUAAAUAUUGGCGAGAGACCGAUAGCGAACAAGUACCGUGAGGGAAAGAUGAAAAGCACUUUGGAAAGAGAGUUAAACAGUACGUGAAAUUGCUGAAAGGGAAACGCUUGAAGUCAGUCGCGUUGUCCGGGACUCAGCCUUGCUUCGGCUUGGUGCACUUUCCGGAUGACGGGCCAGCAUCGAUUUUGACCGCUGGAAAAGGGCUGGAGGAAUGUGGCACCUUCGGGUGUGUUAUAGCCUCCAGUCGCAUACGGCGGUUGGGAUCGAGGAACGCAGCACGCCUUACGGCGGGGGUUCGCCCACCUUCGUGCUUAGGAUGCUGGCAUAAUGGCUUUAAACGACCCGUCUUGAAACACGGACCA